rnacentral:rRNA from 1 species
GGAAUCUUCCACAAUGGACGAAAGUCUGAUGGAGCAACUCCGCGUGCAGGAUGAAGGCCUUAGGGUCGUAAACUGCUUUUAUGAGUGAAGAAUAUGACGGUAACUCAUGAAUAAGGGUCGGCUAACUACGUGCCAGCCGCCGCGGUCAUACGUAGGACCCAAGCGUUAUCCGGAGUGCCUGGGCGUAAAGAGUUGCGUAGGUGGUUUGUUAAGUGAAUAGUGAAAUCUGGCGGCUCAACCGUACAGGCUAUUAUUCAAACUGGCAAACUCGAGAAUGGUAGAGGUAACUGGAAUUUCUUGUGUAGGAGUGAAAUCCGUAGAUAUAAGAAGGAACACCAAUGGCGUAGGCAGGUUACUGGACCAUUUCUGACACUGAGGCACGAAAGCGUGGGGAGCGAAC